rnacentral:rRNA from 1 species
UACGUAGGUGGCGAGCGUUGUCCGGAUUUACUGGGCGUAAAGAGCGCGCAGGCGGUCGUGCAAGUCGGAUGUGAAAGCCCCCGGCUCAACUGGGGAGAGUCAUUCGAUACUGCUCGACUUGAAGGCGGGAGAGGGAAGCGGAAUUCCCGGUGUAGUGGUGAAAUGCGUAGAUAUCGGGAGGAACACCAGUGGCGAAGGCGGCUUCCUGGCCCGUUCGUGACGUUGAGGCGCGAAAGCUAGGGGAGCAAACGGG